rnacentral:rRNA from 1 species
GAUGAACGCUGGCGGCGUGCCUAAUACAUGCAAGUCGAGCGAACAGACGAGGAGCUUGCUCCUCUGACGUUAGCGGCGGACGGGUGAGUAACACGUGGAUAACCUACCUAUAAGACUGGGAUAACUUCGGGAAACCGGAGCUAAUACCGGAUAAUAUAUUGAACCGCAUGGUUCAAUAGUGAAAGACGGUUUUGCUGUCACUUAUAGAUGGAUCCGCGCCGCAUUAGCUAGUUGGUAAGGUAACGGCUUACCAAGGCAACGAUGCGUAGCCGACCUGAGAGGGUGAUCGGCCACACUGGAACUGAGACACGGUCCAGACUCCUACGGGAGGCAGCAGUAGGGAAUCUGCCGCAAUGGGCGAAAGCCUGACGGAGCAACGCCGCGUGAGUGAUGAAGGUCUUCGGAUCGUAAAACGCUGUUAUUAGGGAAGAACAAAUGUGUAAGUAACUAUGCACGUCUUGACGGUACCUAAUCAGAAAGCCACGGCUAACUACGU